rnacentral:rRNA from 1 species
GACGAACGCUGGCGGCGUGCCUAAUACAUGCAAGUAGAACGCUGAAGCGAGGAGCUUGCUCUUCUUGGAUGAGUUGCGAACGGGUGAGUAACGCGUAGGUAACCUGCCUGGUAGCGGGGGAUAACUAUUGGAAACGAUAGCUAAUACCGCAUAAAAUGGAUUAUCGCAUGAUAAUCCAUUGAAAGGUGCAAAUGCAUCACUACCAGAUGGACCUGCGUUGUAUUAGCUAGUUGGUGGGGUAACGGCUCACCAAGGCGACGAUACAUAGCCGACCUGAGAGGGGGAUCGGCCACACUGGGACUGAGACACGGCCCAGACUCCUACGGGAGGCAGCAGUAGGGAAUCUUCGGCAAUGGACGGAAGUCUGACCGAGCAACGCCGCGUGAGGGAAGAAGGUUUUCGGAUCGUAAAGCUCUGUUGUAAGAGAAGAACGAGUGUGAGAGUGGAAAGUUCACACUGUGACGGUAUCUUACCAGAAAGGGACGGCUAACUACGUG